GACAAAUGCACUGCAUUUAUUCUAAGGCGCUUAUAAAACCUGAAAGCAAGCGUUUUGAUACGCGACUCGUAUGUUGACAUAAGACAUUUUCAAAGAAAAUGGGUGUUAUAGAUUUCACGACAAGUUUAUGGAGGGAUCCAUACAGAUGGUCUCUGGUCAAGAGCGUUGCACUAUUCAGUCUUGCAGUGUUCAUUGCACAUGAGUUUGAGGCAGCUGAACUUGAGGCUGCGGCAGAGACUGCAGCCAAACUUGGGAGCAGAUGAUGAUGCAGGAACUCAUCCUAAUGAAGCUUUUGGAUGUCGAUGAACGGAUGAAAGAAGGAAGAUAGCUAAUUAAUGAUGUUUUAGUAUAUUUUUUUUAUACUGCAUACAUAAGUACAUUAAACAAAUGAUCUUUUUCAACACAAAA